rnacentral:rRNA from 1 species
GACGAACGCUGGCGGCGUGCUUAACACAUGCAAGUCGAACGGAAAGGCCCUGCUUUUGUGGGGUGCUCGAGUGGCGAACGGGUGAGUAACACGUGAGUAACCUGCCCUUGACUUUGGGAUAACUUCAGGAAACUGGGGCUAAUACCGGAUAGGAGCUCCUGCUGCAUGGUGGGGGUUGGAACGUUUCGGCGGUUGGGGAUGGACUCGCGGCUUAUCAGCUUGUUGGGGGGGUAGUGGCUUACCAAGGCUUUGACGGGUAGCCGGCCUGAGAGGGUGACCGGCCACAUUGGGACUGAGAUACGGCCCAGACUCCUACGGGAGGCAGCAGUGGGGAAUAUUGCACAAUGGGCGGAAGCCUGAUGCAGCAACGCCGCGUGCGGGAUGACGGCCUUCGGGUUGUAAACCGCUUUCGCCUGUGACGAAGCGUGAGUGACGGUAAUGGGUAAAGAAGCACCGGCUAACUACGUG